GGGCACUUGGUCUAGGGGUAUGAUUUUCGCUUCGCAUCAUCACAGAUGCGCCUGUGAAAGGUCGUGGGUUCAAUUCCCACAGUGUCCA
rfam:Verruconis gallopava strain CBS 43764 unplaced genomic scaffold supercont1.5, whole genome shotgun sequence.